rnacentral:rRNA from 1 species
UACGUAGGGCGCAAGCGUUGUCCGGAAUUAUUGGGCGUAAAGAGCUCGUAGGCGGCCUGUCGCGUCCGCUGUGAAAUUCCGGGGCUUAACCCCGGGCGUGCAGUGGAUACGGGCUGGCUAGAGGCAGGCAGGGGAGAACGGAAUUCCCGGUGUAGCGGUGGAAUGCGCAGAUAUCAGGAGGAACACCGGUCGCGAAGGCGGGUCUCUGGGCAGUAACUGACGCUGAGGAGCGAAAGCGUGGGGAGCGAACAGG